ensembl:lncRNA
GAACAGGAGGGGAGGGAGGGGGGAAAGGGGGGAGAAUCCAAUCCGGUUUUAGCUAGUUUGUGUUUCGAUGGGACGUUAACGUCUUCCUGCGCUGAAACCUGUGUGUCUUUUUAUCGAGCUAACUAAGCACUGUUGUUAGCUAUUUUUAGUCUCUUUGCCUUGCUUACUUUCCCCCUCUUCUUGUAUCUUAUUCCUGGUUUUAUUUUUUAUUUUUGUGUGUGUGUGUGUGUGUGUGUUUUAACACCUCAAAAGCAGCCAUGCCCAAAAGGAGCAAAGUAAGUACUUAUGUGUGAUACUUGGAAUUCUCUUUGAUCUGUCUUUUAAUCGGUGUAAAUGUGCAAAACGUGCCUUAUUGCAUUGCUUUUAAAACAUGCAUUCGAGAGUUAUAUCUCUGUUUUUGCUUUGCUCGCAUUAAGUUUGCAGUGUGCAUUCGUUUUUGUUGCACGUUUAAAAAGAAAAAAUAUAUAUAUACUUAUGUGUUUUGAUUUUGCCACGCGCUUCAUUUCGGUGUGCACGGACUUGGGUUUUCCUUCUUUAACGCGUUGCACGAGCGCGUGCAUUUCUGUUUCAGUUAAGUGCAUGAAGGUGGUUUUGUUUUUUCUGAAGCAGGUUAUUUUCAUGCUCACUGUUUACAAAUGGACGAAGUAGCCCUGGAUACAUGGAGCUAGACAAAGGGGUGUAACUGAGGCGAUCUCUACUUUUCACUUAUUCUUCCCUCUCCAUAACCUCAUAAGCUAAAUGCACGUUUAAAAUAAAUAAAUAAAAUUACAUGCAUUGUAGGUCGUUGUGCUUUUUCGAACGUAUACGAAUCGUUUUGUAUGUGUUUUGGGGUUUUAAAUGCAAAAAAAAAACUCGAUCCUUGUUUUGGAAAACGGUCUUGUAUGGAAAUGCUCCUCCAAGAAAAGCUCAAUGGUCUCUGGUAUGAUCCCUUCGACCGCUUUUUGUUUUUUUUUCCUUUCUUUUUCUCGAAAAACACAUUAAAAAUAAAACAAACGCGUGUGUUUCUCUGGGAGUGAAUUCUACUUGUAUAAAUGUAUUAAUGUGCUUAUAGACGAUACACGUUCGUCGCCAUAGCUGUGAAUUCGUGCAAAUCUGUGGUUGUAAAAAUGGCGAAUCUUGCACACCGCAGCGACUCUUGUCGUUUUUCUGGCCUUUUCCUUUCCUUUAUAACGGCCCCAAACUAUCCGAGUAUGUCCUGGCAACAAUGAAAAGCAAGGGGGGAAAUCAGAAUCGGUAUCAAAACGCCAUUUUAAUCGUAUAUCUUUAAUUAAAUCGUCAACGUUGCUGAAUAGAUUAGUGUGGAAGGGAGGCGGGGUUCAUAGUUCCCUCCUUCUCCCUCGUGCGCACACGGGCAGCCAAUCAGCACACAGCGGCAAGAAAAUGGCGGGCUUUUGAGAUCAACAUUAGUUUUUAUAUAUAUAUGAAGGGGGUGGGGCGGUGUUUGCAGUUUGAGCACCAUUGAGUUGCCAUUAAAGUUCUUGUUUCUAUUCUUCUUUCAAGAAGUAUAACAUCUUGUUUUUCUCCAUUUAAACUGAUUAAAAUUUCUUUGUUUUUCAGGCGAACAAUGACACUGAAGCCAGUGAGCCCAAAAGGAGAUCGGCGAGAUUGGUAAACAAACCGGCACCUCCUAAGGCUGAGCCGAAGCCAAAGGCAAAGAAGGCACCUGCCAAACCCAAAAAGACUAAGGAGCCCAAGGAAGACAAGCCCAACGACGAGGAGAAGAAAGAGGAAGUCCCUGCUGAGAACGGCGAGGCAAAGGAUGACGAUGAGGCACCAGCAACAGAAGAGACGGAGAAGAAGGACGACGAAGCAGAAUAACGUCUUGUCUCGAACCAGUGCUCCCUGUACCUCUCUUCUUGUACAAUUCAGGGGAAUAUUUUUAUCUACUAUUUUCUAAAGGCAGUUUUUUUAGUAGUUUGAUUGUAGAGACACAUUUUUUAUGAAAGCUACAAUGCGUUUCGAGGGGGAUUUCAUCCCAUCCCACAUUUCUACAUCCAGAACAGUUAUUGUCUGUCAGUUCCUCUUUUCAAAGUGGGAAGGAGUUACGCCAUUGGUGCGCGCACACACAAACACAUUGCGCAUGGCGAUUACAAAGACAGUCGGACAACUUGCCCAAAUGACUAACAUUCCAUUGGCUCAAUGAGGGAUUUUUUUGUUGUUGUUGUUGUUGUUUGAAUGUGUGUAACCUGUUAUGUAUGCGUGCGUGGCGGGGAGGGGUGCGAAUCACUCAUCGUUUUCUUGUUUAUAAUGAGGCAGAUUACUUAGAACGUUUGUAAGCUGUGUACUGUAUGUUAAUUCUUGUACCGAUUCUGCUUAAUAAACCUACUUUGUAGUACUGGAGCUCUCCAUGUCAGGCCUGUGUAUCAUCACGUGUUUCGUUGUCUUUCCUGUGAUAGCACCACAAUAGAUCUAUAUAGCAGCUGUGAAACGAUCUUUGACUUUAUACGCAGCGUGUAAUGGUACCUUGUCCAGAUGUGGUCAAGACUGAAUCCUUGGCAAAGCUAAAAAUGCAUCGGCGUGUUAAAGCUUGGCCACCUUUUCAGGCCGGGUCUAAUGAUCGAGUGUAAGAUCUGGCAAAACUGUACAGCACUAGUACCAGCAGUAGCAAUAUACAUGUGCAACUACAAAUGUACAGUUUCUUUCAGCUCAUUGUUUAUAGAUGUAUCUCUGUGUAUUGUUUGAUUAAAGCGAGCCAAUAAAAAUUGUUUGUGAGA